rnacentral:rRNA from 1 species
UACGUAGGGGGCAAGCGUUAUCCGGAUUUACUGGGUGUAAAGGGGGCGCAGACGGCAGCGCAAGCCAGGAGUGAAAGCUACGGGCUUAACUUGUAGACUGCAGUUGAAACUGGUUUUCUUGAGUGAAGUAGAGGUUGGCGGAAUUCCGAGUGUAGCGGUGAAAUGUGUAGAUAUUAGGAGGAACACCAGUGGCGAAGGCGGUCUGCUGGACAGCAACUGACGCUGAGGCGCGAAAGCGUGGGGAGCAAACAGG